rnacentral:rRNA from 1 species
UGGAGCUAACACAGGUGCUGCAUGGCUGUCGUCAGCUCGUGCCGUGAGGUGUAUGGUUAAGUCCCACAACGAGCGCAACCCUCGUCGCUAGUUAAUUCCCUAGCGAGACCGCCUCGCAAACGAGGAGGAAGGCGGGGAUGGCGUCAAGUCAGCAUGGCCUUUAUACCCUGGGCGACACACACGCUACAAUGGGUGGUACAGUAGGUAGCGAAGGAGCGAUCCGGAGCAAAUCCUUAAAACCAUCCUCAGUACGGAUUGCAGGCUGAAACCCGCCUGCAUGAAGCCGGAGUUGCUAGUAACCGCAUAUCAGCAUGGUGCGGUGAAUACGUUCUCGGGCCUU